ensembl:lncRNA
CCACAAAUUGCAGUGAUCUGUAUGUUACCUGUGACCUCACUAUUUUCUUUACAGAAUGCCUAUGGUCAAAUCUAGAGACAUCCUUUUUCAAGAAGCUGGUCAUUCUGUAUCAGAGGGUUUCCCAGAAAAUUCUGCUCUCAGUUGUCCAGGAGAUCAUGAUGAUAGGGCCAAGCCUCUUCAACCUGGACCCAGUUAAAACUGGGCCUCUGCAAAUACUGCAGAUGCUUUACCAGGUGAACUCCAAAACUGGUUUCAGAGUAUGUGAAAGGAACUUCCAUGUACAUGAAGUGGGAGGGAUUAUUGACAUAUGUUCACGCUUCUAUACAGUAACAGUCCUAAAGAGGCUGAGCAAGUAUCCAUGCAUCUUCGAAAGGGAAAAGAAGAUCUGCGUUCAUACUACAGAAUGCAGGGUUCUUCUGUCCAAGACCAUGCACCCUAUUGUAAGUGCAGCCAAUUUUGUUACCAAUCAGAAGAGAUAAACACACUGCUAACAGACUGUUACUUCAAUCCUUGGAUACCCUUUAUUCAGAUGCCCUUUAUAUGCAUCCCUGAGGCAUGGAAUUUUUGCGUCCGAAGACACUGCCUUCUCCAGGAUAUGUGGAAAAAUUUAAAAACCGCCUCAAACCAAGAUUUCAGGAAGAUGUUAAAGGUAAGAUACUAAAUUGUAUUACUUGUUAGCUCUUAGUAUCUUGCUGCAGUGUUCUUUGAUUUUCAGUGUUACUGUAUAUUGGCAGAAGGGAUUCAGUAUCCUCUGAGCAUCCAGCAAAAGAACUGCUCCUCAAAUUAUUAUAAAACAUGUUCCCUAGAUGGUGUAGGGUAAAUCUGGAGGCGGCAUUUCCUUAUUCCAGGCAGCUUUGUUGGCAUAAGUUAAAUGCAAGUGGCAGUGCUGUUUACUGUGAAGUGGCUUUGAGGUAAUGGAAUAGAACUGCUCAGUCAUCAAAGUCAUGUACUGUUGCUGCUAGACUGACUUUUGAGACUUCCUUCUAGCACAUUAAAACCCCAGCGUCUGGGGAAGCAGCCUGAGGGGUCAGCAAGCAACACAGCCACAAAACUACAUUUCUCUCAUGGAGAUGCUGUCUGAAGGGGAAGGAAGGAUAGUGCCUGCCAGAGAGAUGAGCAUCUGAUUACAAUGCUGCUGUCUCCAUGUGCCUUUAAUCUGUGGCUUCCACACUGAUCCGAAGGUUGUGGCAGUUGCGUUUCCCACAGGAAUCGUGAUGCUGGCCCUGUCCUGCAAAAGCCGUUAGCUGACUGAUGUGGGAAUGGGACAUCAGCCAUCUGCCCAGAGCAGGGCUCAGCUCAGGGACCACGGGCCCCACCUGCCACUAACACAAAUUCUGGCACCACGCUUGUGCCACAGGAACCACGGACCUUGGUGCCAUGGUGCUUUCCAAGUGAGCUUUCUUGCCAACCAGAGUUGUCAAGGCUUUUCUUUCCCAUUUACUUUGGACAAAAUUCACAAAGACUCCCAGAGCUACCUUUCCUUCCUGGCUCCUCACUAUUUUAGAGAGGCAUUUAUUUAGAGAGGCAGUGAGGGUGUGCUCUGUACUGUCCUCUAUAUUUCAAGUCUCCACCUAUUGUACAAGCUCUGACAACCAGCUGCCCUUAGCUCAAGUCAGCCUUUGGGCACACCUCCUGAGCACUGCCUUUCACACUGUGCAUCA